rnacentral:miRNA from 1 species
UAGUGGUCCUAAACAUUUCACA